CCUACGGGAGGCAGCAGUGAGGAAUAUUGGUCAAUGGGCGAGAGCCUGAACCAGCCACGCCGCGUGAAGGAUGAAGGAUCUCUGGUUUGUAAACUCUUUUUAUAUGGGAAUAAAGUGAGGAACGUGUUCCUUUUUGUAUCUACCAUAUGAAUAAGCAUCGGCUAACUCCGUGCCAGCAGCCGCGGUAAUACGGAGGAUGCGAGCGUUAUCCGGAUUUAUUGGGUUUAAAGGGUGCGUAGGUGGUUAAUUAAGUCAGCGGUGAAAGUUUGUGGCUCAACCAUAAAAGUGCCGUUGAUACUGGUUGACUUGAGUGUAGUUGAGGUAGGCGGAAUGCGUGGUGUAGCGGUGAAAUGCGUAGAUAUCACGCAGAACUCCGGUGGCGAAGGCAGCUUACUGAACUAUAACUGACACUGAGGCACGAAAGCGUGGGGAGCAAACAGGAUUAGAUACCCCUGUAGUC
rnacentral:rRNA from 1 species